ACGUAGGUGGCGAGCGUUAUCCGGAUUUAUUGGGUUUAAAGGGAGCGUAGGCGGCUGAUUAAGUCAGCGGUGAAAGGUAGCAGCUUAACUGUUUUACAUGCCGUUGAUACUGGUUAGCUUGAGUUGACAGAAGGCAGAUAGAAUUCCUGAUGUAGCGGUGAAAUGCUUAGAUAUCAGGAGGAAUACCGAUUGCGAAGGCAGUCUGCUGCAGUCACACUGACGCUGAGGCUCGAAGGUGCGGGGAUCAAACAGGAUUAGAUACCCUGGUAGUCCGCACAGUAAACGAUGAUUACUAGAUGUUGGCCAAGCCAGUGUCCAAGGGAAACCGAUAAGUAAUCCACCUGGGGAGUACGCCGGCAACGGUG
rnacentral:rRNA from 1 species